UCUGUCUUCUGCCGCUGCAGAGAAAUGAAAGGCAGAGGAGGAGUACAGAAAGGAAGAACAUGAAAAUGAGAUGUUUCAAGGAUGAUGGGAAGAACAUGAUUGUUUUUUGACAAUGGCUGCUCUGCUCAGUGCACAUCAUCUCUACUGGCAUUUGUAUCCAGAUAGUACUCCUGCUGUUGGCCUGAUACCCAGACAGCCCAACCAUAUUCUGAAGACAGUCUCAGUCAUGACAUAUGAAAGUUCUGCCAGCAUGCAUCUGGGCAAGUAUUAUUUAAAUAAAACUUUCGUAAAACACCAGAGAGGCCAAAGAAAGUCAUCA